rnacentral:rRNA from 1 species
UGGAGGAUGGUUUGGCUCAAGCGGCGACGAAGGUCCUGGCAAGCUGGGAAAAGCUCCGGUGAAUCGCAGGCAGAUUUCGACCCGGAGAUGGCCGAAUGGGACAUCCUUAUGAAAUUCAGGAUUUGGGCAACCUUAUCCUGAAAGCGAACGCAGAGAAUUGAAACAUCUUAUUACCUGCAGGAAGAGAAAGCAAAUGCGAUGCCGUUAGUAAUCGCGAAUGAACACGGCACAGAACAAACCGAACCUCUGCUGAAAGGCAGGUGGAAUGUGGGGUUUGGACCUGGGUUAUACCUCGUCACAAGAUCUGAAGUGUGCUGGAAUGCACUACAUCACAGGGUGAGAGUCCCGUAAGAGAAUUNNNNNNNNNNNNNNNNNNNNNNNNNNNACGGCAGUUACCGGGUGUCCAGAGUAUGAUUCCUUUGAUUUGGAGUCAGAAUACGGGAGGCAUCUACUCCCAAUUCUAAACACGUCUUGAGUCCGAUAGCGGAGUAGUACUGUGAGGGAACACUGAAAAGAAACCGUAAUAGGUUGUUAAGAGAACCUGAAACCAGAUAACUAGAGUUGGACGGUUAAGGCCUUGCAAAGCAAGGAAGAACCCGUCGUCCGUUUCGAAUUCGAAGGAAGUGAGCUAGCAAUCUUGGAAUAUCCGAGCGAUGACACUUUUCAUGUGCUCUUGGCGAAAAAGAAAUACGAGAAAAAAACAAAGAGAACACAUGGCUACGUUCGAGCUCAAGGAAGAAACAGCAUAUGUUGUAGGCUUUAUCAUUGGUGAUGGAAACAUUUCACAAAGCUACAUCGUGCGUGCUGUCGAAGAAAACAAGGCAUUCAUCGAGCAAUUUGCUCAGAUAUUUGAGAAAGAAGUUUGAUCAACUAACGAUCCAUUACUACUAAAACACGGAGUAAAUAAUUGAGCAUACACGCUUUUGCAGUAUUUGGGUGGGGUUUGAUACUUGUUCAGGAGGAUUUCAACAGAGCCCAGAUGAGAUGAAUAUUCCCAAAGGAACAAAAAGUCGAAUCGUGAGAAUACCUGCAAAACUAAGACGAGGUGACGAUCAUUUAAAACGUGCCGUGUUGUCUGGUCUUUUUGAUGCAGAAGGUUCUGUUAUAACGAUGCGUGACCCAAUACAUCACCCGCGUGGAUAUCUAAAAAUUCAAUUCAAAGUUCAUAAUAGAAAUUUGGCACGCGAUGUCUAUGAAAUGCUCAUCGAACUUGGCAUGAAACCCAAGAUUUACGAAUAUGAUGAAUUUUCUAUUGUUAAUCUACAUGGCAACACACAAGGAAAACUGUUUCUUCAAAUCAUCGGAUUUAAACAUCCGGUAAAGAUUUCCAAGAUAUGCUCAUUUCCCUUGACGAAAUAAACGGGGCAGGGAGUUGUUGCUCGUGGCAAGGUUAAGUCCUCAAAGGACAAAGCCGUAGCGAAAGCGAAUUGCGCGCAGGUAACAAGGCGCACCGUAUGAAAAUGCGGAAAGUCAUGGGUUACAGACCCGAAACCAGAUGAUCUAAUCCUGAGCAGGGUGAAGUCUCGCGAAAGCGAGGUGGAGGCCCGCAUCGGUUAUAGCACUACCUUUUCGGCAGACUUGGGAUUAGGGGUGAAAAGCCAAUCGAAUCUGGUAAUAGCUGGUUCCUUCCGAAAUGUAUCUUAGUACAGCCUGGUCUUGUAUCGCUCAUAGUGUAGAGCACCGAUCAUGUGGCCAAGGGGAGAAAUCCCCACCCACAUUGUCAAACUCCGAAUCUAUGAGCGUUUGGGCCGGAGUGAGGGCAUCGGAGUAAUUUUGAUGUCCGAGAGGGUAAUAACCCAGACCAUCGUUAAGGUCCCUCAGUGUUAUCUCAGUGUAUUGAAAGUAGUUUCAACCUUUAGACAGUGGGGAGGUUGGCUUAGAAGCAGCCACCCUUUAAACAACGCGUAAUAGCGGACCCAUCGAAGUUUGGAGCGCUGAAAACGGACGGGGCUAAGAUAGCCACCGAUACGAUGGCCAUGUCUUAGACAUGGAGUAGGAAGGCGUCCUGCAAGGGCAGAAGCAUCGUCGUGAGAUGGUGUGGACCUUGCAGAAAUGAAGAUCCUGCCGGGAGUAGCAUACAAGUUGGAUGAAAAUUCCAACCGCCUGAAGGGCAAAGGUUCCCCAGUAAAGCUUAUCUGCUGGGGGUUAGUCGAUCCUAACCAUAGCCUUACUAAGGCCUAUGGGAAAGGGAAAGCGGUUAAUAUUCCGCUACCAAUAACAUUUGUUAUCCCGUUCAGUGCAGCUUAGGGAUAGUUCGACCAUGACCGUCGUCAUGGCUAAGCAUUGCAUCCGAUGGAGUGUUGUAAUGACGGGAAGUCNNNNNNAGAUGCGAAUGGGCUGGCGUACGCUGGCUUCGGAUGAUUCCUAGAGCCCGUGAAACCGUGAACGGUAGAAUGUUGUUGUUCGUACCAAGAACCGACACAGGUGCCCCUCGCUGAGGAGGCGAAGGUGUUCAGGAGAAUCAAUCUCAGGGAAUUCGGCAAAUUAGUGGCGUAUCUUCGGUAGAAGCCAUGCCUGUUCAGGGAUGAGCAGGUCGCAGUGACAAGAGGAACCCGACUGUUUAACAAAAACGUAGUUGACUGCUAGACUGAAAAGUUGUGUAUAGUCAAUGAGUCGUGGCCACUAGCGGUGUGUUAAAACUGGUUUCAACCGGUCGAAGCCCCGCUGUAGGCCGGCCCUAACUCUGAGGGUCUUAAGGUGAAAACGUUGCCUUAGUAAAAUCUGACUAUAUGCUGGAACAUCCUGUUGAAUUUCUAAUAGGCUACUAUUCUGGUGACAGAAUAGCGACCCCUGAAAAUUUAGAAAUGAAGGACAAUCAGCAGGAAAGGCUUCUCGAUAAUUAUUUUUAGAGAAGAAUCCUCAGAGACUAUACGUCAGACAUAACACACAGAAUAAUAAAAAAAUGGAUCGUGCGUUAUGAAGAUAAAGUCCGAACCUCAUGGUGACAUGAGGAGGUUUGCAGAAAUGCAGAUCCGCCUUUCAAAGGAAAGGUUAGACAAGUAACAGCAUUGAGCGUAAUCCCUUGCCAAUUAAAUGUUGGCCUGCAUGAUGGAUUAACGAGGUUCCUGCUGUCCCGAGAUUGCACCUGGCGAAACUAUUGUUCUGGUGAUUAGGCCAGAGACCUCUAGUGGAAAGAGUCGACCCCUUAGAACUCUACUGCAGUUUCUUGUUGUAAUGUAGUUUUGACCGUAUAGCGUAGGUAGGAGACGUCGAAGCUUCUUCGUCAGAAGAAGUGGAGUCGCCAAUGUAACACUACCCCUUUAAAACUAUAUUGCUUACCCCCAGAAAUGGAGGGACAGCAGCAGAUGGGCAGUUUGGCUGGGGCGGUACGGCCUUGAAAAGAUAUCAAGGCUCCUCUAAGUUCAGCUCAUUCCGGUCAGAAAUCGGAAGUAGAGUGCAAGGGCAAAAGCUGGAUUGAUUGGACUCCUAACAGUAACGAGUCCAAACGCGAAAGCGUGACCUAGCGAUACGCAGUUUGGCCUAGAUGGCUGACUGUGACAUGAGAAAAGUUACCUCGGGGAUAAUGGUGUCGUAGCGGGUGAGAGUUCAUAUCCGCAAUCUUCCUAAGAAAAAACUCGAUCAAUGAUCGUGAACAACGAACUCCAUGAGAGAUUGAGCACAAAGCUAUCAAAUCGCACGAGAUGAGACCAAUAACAAUUGUCUUUUGACUAGCGAAAGCUAGGAUGAAAAAAGAACACAGAAUACCAAAAAUGUAUACGGCAGCGUUUGAUGAGAAAUCUCAUAUGACAACGUAAGUUUGGUUGAUUUUCCAAGCACAUAGAAUAUGUUGGUAUGCGGAAAACAAAUCGACCCCGCGUGUUGCGGCGUCGCUGUCGGCUCCCCCUCUCCUGGGUGUGCAGCAGCACCCAAGGGUACUGGAGUUCACAGAUUAAAAGGGGACGCUAGUUGGGUUCAGAACGUUGUGAGACAGUUUGGUCUAUAUCUGCUAGAGGUGUGUAUGUCUGAGAGAAAGGAGAGAUAAGUACGAAAGGAACAUCUCUUCGAGGCCACUUGUGUACCAGUUGUCUGACAAGGCAUAUUGCUGGGUAGCUACGCCUUAAUUGAUUAACGCUGAAGGCAUCUAAGCGUGAAGCAGUUCUCGAAAAUAGACAU